UGAUGACGAGACGCUAAGGCGUUGAAGCAGUGUAUGUCAGACUUCCAAGAAAAGCUCGCAAUGUCACAAAUAAAAAGUGCCUGUACCAUAACCGACACAGGUGGGUAGGUAGAGUAUACUAAGGGGCGCGAGAUAACUCUCUCUAAGGAACUCGGCAAAAUGACUCCGUAACUUCGGGAGAAGGAGUGCCUUAUUUAUAAGGUUGCAAUAACAAGAUCCAAGCAACUGUUUAUCAAAAACACAGGUCUCCGCUAAGUCGUAAGACGAUGUAUGGGGGCUGACGCCUGCCCAGUGCCAGAAGGUUAAAGAAGUUGGUUAGUGUAUGCGAAGCUGAUGACUGAAGCCCUGGUGAACGGCGGCCGUAACAAUAACGGUCCUAAGGUAGCGAAAUUCCUUGUCGGGUAAGUUCCGACCCGCACGAAAGGCGUAAUGAUUUGGAUACUGUCUCGGAGAGAGGCUCGGUGAAAUAGACUUGUCUGUGAAGAUGCGGACUACCUGCACCAGGACAGAAAGACCCUAUGAAGCUUUACUGUAACUUGAAAUUGGAAUUGGACUUUGCUUGCGCAGUAUAGGUGGGAAGCGUUGAAAAUAUUCUUGCGGGAGUAUUGGAGCUAUCAGUGAGAUACCACUCUUGUAAUGUUAGAUUUCUAACUUUGAACCAUAAUCUGGUCAAAGAACAGUUUCAGGUGGGCAGUUUGACUGGGGCGGUCGCCUCCCAAAUGGUAACGGAGGCGUACAAAGGUUUCCUCUGAACGGAUAGAAAUCGUAUCUAGAGUGUAAAGGCAUAAGGAAGCUUGACUGUGAGACCUACAAGUCGAGCAGGGACGAAAGUCGGUCUUAGUGAUCUGACGGUACUGAGUGGAAAGGCCGUCACUCAACGGAUAAAAGUUACUCUAGGAUAACAGGCUGAUCUCCCCCAAGAGUUCACAUCGACGGGGAGGUUUGGCACCUCGAUGUCGGCUCAUCGCAUCCUGGGGCGGUAGUACGUCCCAAGGGUUGGGCUGUUCGCCCAUGAAAGCGGUACGCGAGCUGGGUUCAGAACGUCGUGAGACAGUUCGGUCCAUAUCCGGUGUAGGCGCUAGAAUAUUGAGAGGCGCCUUCUUUAGUACGAGAGGACCGAGAAGGACACACCGCUGGUGUACCAGUUAUCGUGCCAACGGUAAACGCUGGGUAGCUAUGUGUGGAGUGGAUAACCGCUGAAAGCAUCUAAGUGGGAAGCCCACCUCGAGAUGAGUAUUCUCAUC
rnacentral:rRNA from 1 species